UUUUAACAUUCAUAUAUUUUAUUGACACGAAUUGUAAUGAAUGGUGACAAACAAAUAGAGGUUCAAGGUUUAUAGUUCGUACUACGGUUAAUCCUACUUUUUGCUUCGUUUUUUAAUGGUUUGGUUGCGAGAGGAUACUUUAUAUAAUAACGUUAAGAAUUCAAGCGCUUUCAUUGGUCGAGAGCCAUGAUCUAUUGGAGGGCAGACCAUAGACGCAUGGAAUUACGUCACACAAAACCUUAUCCAAUAGCGCUCCCUUAUUUGUAUAGUCUGUUCAAUUAUAGAUACACAGUAUGACAUCAUAAUGUGGCGGGAAGAACAAGAAAGUGACCCACUCGCCUCGUGAGCCACUUUUUUGUUCUUCCCACAUUAUGACGUCAUACUGUGUAUCUAUUAUACAAAUAAUGAAUGUUUAUGAGUGCAAUGGUAAGAAUAUUUUCAUUCGGUGAAAGAUGGAAUGUUCCAUCCAACGAGGCGACAGCCGAGUUGAAUGGAACAUUCCAUCUUUCACCGAAUGAAAAUAUUCUUACCAUUGCACGAAAAAACAUUCAUUAUUUGUUUUAUAUAAUACCAAAAUAGACUAAUAGAUUCGUAUGAGAAGCAUUUUGAGUGAUGCGAUUUAUUGAAAACACAAAGAGUGCAAUGGUACUAUACGUUUUAUUCCAUUGCACUCGCAGAGAGUGCAAUGGAACGUGUUCCAUUGCACUCUUGGGAAAUGGAAUUUUCUAUUCAAUAUCACGUGACCAUAGUAAACAGCCAAUUAAACGAUUAGAAUUCAAUAAGGUAUUAUAUAAAACUGAACAGACAACAGCAAAAUCUUAUCUACUUGUUAAAUAGUGUUGUUAUAUUGCAGCUGCGAUGUGAAGGAUAUACAACGACCUGAAAAAAGAUAAGCAGAACUUCGACCUUUCGUCGGGAAGUUGGUAGCGACCUUCGCUCGGAAAGUCGACGUUCUGCUUUAUGUUUUUGUUGUACAGUAUAUCCUUCACAUCGCAGCUGUCUGUUAUCCGCGUCUCUACCUACACUCGCAUCGUUUGACAUUUUGUCAUCUCGCACCGUCAGUGGGCAGAGGUAUAUCUCGGUACGUCAUAAAAAGAUCAUCAAUGCAAGGUUUACUUUGUUUUUAUCCUCUUAAUGUCAACUAUUUAUCUUAACUUACUGUAUUUCAGGUUAAAUAAGUACUAUAAUUAUAAUAUAUAUUUACUGAAGAAAUCAAAACAUUUCCAUACAAAAACUAUUUCAAAUCAUGUGGGAAUAGAUAGAGAUUUUCGCACCAAUGUAUACCAAUUACAUUCAUGGAAAUUUCUAUUUUGUGUGGAGCGGUUCUGAUUUUCCCAGCAAUUACAAAACAAAUGUUGUAAAGUAGUUACCUAUAAACCCUAUUUACAUAUAUGACAAUCAAAGAUAAUAGGCAAAGGCAUGGUUUGAAAGACCAGUCCACAAAAAGUCAUUGUUCAUUACAAUGGAUCAUAAAACACCUUGAUGUUUUCAGCGUGCUGGUGGCCUCUCAACCUUGUUGAAAAUUAUGACAUCACAAAAUCCAAAAUAAUUCCAUGUUUAGCAAUAAUUGUACAGCUGAGCAAUUUAGUAAAAAAAAAGUAACAAUACAACCAUCGAUGCCACUCGACGAUGGAAUAUCUAAAUAUUGUUGGUCAUUUUCAGCCAUUUCAGGAAAAAUAUCAAGUAUUAGCCAGUAAAAUACGCGUCAAAAAAUCAAUUAUAUCAACAGUAGUUUUUGUAUCGUCAAUUUCUUGAUUACGAAAGUAAAAACUAAAACAACAUUUACCUCGAGUACUUUGCCGUGGCACAAGAGGUUUAAAAGACAAUGAAACCAUUUCGAAUCUCAAUAUCGCUACUUAAAUGCGAAAAAUAGGAAAUUGAAGGAAAACGCAGUAAAUUUUAUUAUUUCGGUUUUUUUCGUUGACAUCGCGCACUUCAAAUAGGUCACAGAAUAAGAAGGUACAGCAGAAGCGUCACUCGAGUCGGUUCCCUUAUUGUCUUACGUAGGGUUGGGCGAUAUUUCGAUUUAUCGCGAUAUUUUCAAUCGCGAUUAUCGUAUCGAAGGUAGAAACUUGAGCGACGAUAUAUCGAAAUUAUCGUCAUGCUCGAUGACUAUCGUGAUAUUGCUUCGCAUGUGCAUAUAGCUUUUAUAAAAAUCCUAAAAAAUUCUUUCAAUUCCUAGAAAAUAUAGUUUUUAAAAGAAUUAAAACUAUUCCCUGAAUUACAUACGAAUUUAAAACGAUACAAAAGCUAAUAUUUAUGUAUUAAUCUGCUGAACAAUGAGAUUGUAGCCUUUGCUUGCGCUGUGUGCCCACGGCAUUUGUAAUUGUGCCAGCGGAGACACAGUAGACAUGGCUUUGAAGUUCUGGUUUAUGAACAGUAAAUAUUAGACUAGAAAAAGCCUUGAUAUUACUUUAAUUUUAAUUUGUUGUUUUACUUGUUUUUAAUACGAUUAUAUAUAAGCUUUCUAUGCUUUGAUAUUAAUUAAAAUUGAAUAAAAGUUGUCAUUGUUUUAUUGCAUUUAUCGCGAUAUUAUCGAAUAAGACGAAUAUCGUGAUAAUUUCCUUGACAAUAAUCGUGAGAUGAUAUUUUUAAUAUCGUCCAACCCUAGUCUUACGUCCACGAAAAUUUUAACUCGCUCACGCCAUCCUGGCUAGUACAACCGGAAGUUUUUAUCAGGUUUUGGUAGGUACAAAGUGCCGGUUGUACUAGCCAGAUGGCGUGAUUGAUGACGAAUCGCUUGUAAAAAGGCGGACAAACACUUGCUUGAGUGAGGGUUCUGCUGUACCUUCUUAUUCUGUGAAUAGGUCACUUCUGCUGACGCCAGCAGUCUCCUAUCCAUUAUUUUUAACUACCCAUAGACCAAUUGCGAAACUUAGUGGCCGCGCCUUCAUACUGCACGAAAACGAGGCUUAUUAUGCAAAAACAAAACAAUUUCUAUAUUUUUAUAUAGCGAAAGGUGAAUUUUAGGGUUUUAAAAGUGUUUUUUAUUUAAUCUCUUUCAUCUUUUCUUAAUAUUUCUGCUAGGUUAUAUAAAUAUUUGUUAAAUUUAUCUAAACAUCGAUUUCCCACAAUAUUUUUACCCGCUAUGGAGAGAUAUUUCGUUGUUGUUUUAGCAUGCGAUGGAACAAACAUAUCG